CACAACGUCGUCGCUACACCUGCCAUCCUCCGUAAGCUAACUCGCAAAGGUCUUGCUCCGAGCCCUACCCGCCGCCGCCCCCCCCCACCACCACCACCAUCUUAUUUUCUUUCCUUGCAUUGUGUGCUGCUGCUUGUGUGCUCUUCCGGGUCUCAGAAGGAGCAAGUACCUGUCUUAUCAUUCCGCCCAGCCUGCACGCACACACAUACGCCAUUGUCGAGCUCGCGUGGUACCUGUCAGGGUACCUUCGAUCGCUGCUAUUCGUAUUGCACUCCUCGCACGCUUCCCGAAGCGUCCGCUCCUCGCAGUCAAGAUGGCGGCUCAGAUGGUGCCGAUCGACCCGGACAAGAAGGAUGAUGUCUACUACCGUUACAAGAUGCCCGCCGUGCAGACCAAGGUGGAGGGCAGCGGCAACGGUAUCAAGACGGUGCUGCCGAACAUUCACGACAUCUGUCUGGUGAUCAACCGCCCGGAGGAAGUGCUCAUGAAGUACUUUCAGUUCGAACUCGGAGCUCAGCGUACGGUGUCGACGAAGGACGACAAGUUCCUGUUGAUGGGCGCCCACCCCACGGAGCGCAUGCAGGACAAGCUGUACGACUUCAUUCGAAAGUUUGUGUUGUGCAAGUACUGCCGCAACCCGGAGACGGCCAUCCACCUCGACGCUGGCAAGAAGGGCUCCGCUUCCAUCAGUAUGGUGUGCGGUGCGUGCGGUAAGCGGUCCAACUUCGAUGAGCACCGUACCAAGACCUUCAUGGCGCAGUACUACGAGAAGCAUCCGGUGGAGGCGAAGGCGGCCAAGGGUGCCGCAGAGGCGCGCAAGAAGGACGACGCCCCGGCGGCUGAUGAGGUGGCCGCGCCGACCAAGCCGGAGAAGGAGUCGGGCAAGUCGGUCGGCAAGUCGGAUCUCAGGGACGACCGCGAGGACCCCAAGGUCGUUUUCGCGCGUGUGCUGAAGGAGUCCUGGGGCAAGAACGACGAGCUUGUUGGGCGCACCGUGCGUCUGCUGAGCCAGUACAACCUGCCGGAGCACUACGGGCCGCCGAUGGCGCUGUCUGCGAUGCUGCUGGAGCACCGUGAUGACCUGCUGUCGACCAUGAAGACGCACGCGCGUCUGCUGAAGCGGCUUUGCACGGUGCCGGAGCUCUUCUCCCGCUCGGAGGGCUACGACGAGAAGGAGUUGACGGAGUUCUACAAGCGUGAAAAGAAGAUUCAGAAGACGUUCCUGCGCGAGUGCGCCAAGGAGUUUGCCACCAACUUCACCCCCGACAAGUUCGCCGUUCUCAUCUUUAUGCUGUUUGUGGAAGGUGUCCUUCGUGACCGCAGCAUCGCCGAUUGGGCGAAGGACACAAAGCCCUUCAGCGACGGCGACCCGAAGGUGCAGGAGGAGAUGCGGCAGAAGGUAGCACCGAUCGUCUCCUGGCUCGGCAUGGAUGCUAAGGCAGACGCGUAGAAAGUGCACAAGUGUCAGGAGAAAAGCAGAAGAAAGGCGUAUGCGUGUGCCUGUAUGUGUGUAUGUGUGCCCGUAAGCGUGUGUCUGUGUGUUGUGAAGGCUUAAUGCUGCACGUAAGGCGUUGGUAACAACAAGGCAAACGGAAAAAAAAACGAAUGAAGGAAAAACGAGUCGGUGGUGUGGUGUGCGCCAGAGGUGCGGGCGGCUUGUGCGAGUGCAAAUUCAAUGCGUGCGCGCAUGUGGGC
rnacentral:misc_RNA from 1 species